UACGUAGGUGGCAAGCGUUGUCCGGAAUCAUUGGGCGUAAAGAGCUCGUAGGCGGUCUGUCGCGUCUGCUGUGAAAACCUGGGGCUUAACCCUGGGCUUGCAGUGGGUACGGGCAGACUAGAGUGCGGUAGGGGAGACUGGAAUUCCUGGUGUAGCGGUGAAAUGCGCAGAUAUCAGGAGGAACACCGGUGGCGAAGGCGGGUCUCUGGGCCGUAACUGACGCUGAGGAGCGAAAGCAUGGGUAGCGAACAGG
rnacentral:rRNA from 1 species